GACGAACGCUGGCGGCGUGCUUAACACAUGCAAGUCGAACGGGAAGGCCCUGCUUUUGUGGGAUGCUCGAGUGGCGAACGGGUGAGUAACACGUGAGUAACCUGCCCUUGACUUUGGGAUAACUUCAGGAAACUGGGGCUAAUACCGGAUAGGAGCUCCUGCUGCAUGGUGGGGGUUGGAAAGUUUCGGCGGUUGGGGAUGGACUCGCGGCUUAUCAGCUUGUUGGUGGGGUAGUGGCUUACCAAGGCUUUGACGGGUAGCCGGCCUGAGAGGGUGACCGGCCACAUUGGGACUGAGAUACGGCCCAGACUCCUACGGGAGGCAGCAGUGGGGAAUAUUGCACAAUGGGCGGAAGCCUGAUGCAGCAACGCCGCGUGCGGGAUGACGGCCUUCGGGUUGUAAACCGCUUUCGCCUGUGACGAAGCGUGAGUGACGGUAAUGGGUAAAGAAGCACCGGCUAACUACGUG
rnacentral:rRNA from 1 species